rnacentral:lncRNA from 1 species
UGAUUCAAACCACCAAUUUUAUUUUUUAUUUUUUUGAAUUCACUAAUAACUUCUUUUUUUUAAUCAAAAUACUACCUUGUAUUUUGAACUAAGGAGAUCCAAAAUUUUAAUUUCCAAGUAAAACCCAGAAAGAACUUUUAAUUUUGUCCUCUAACUUCCCCUGGGUACAUCCAUGUAGACUGAUCCUCGAGUCAAUUGAUACGUUCAAAAACACCAUAUAGGCUAGUUACUAUAAUUUAAAAUAAAUUAAAUCUUAAUUCUCUCAUCUACUCAACUAGACGAUUCCAAAUCAAACUCUUACAAGUAAAAAUAACUAGAAAAAUUUUCUCAAUGCUCCACCAAGUUAGAAGACCUUAAAUCAAUAGAUAUAAGUAAAAUUGACUCGGCGAUCUCUUCUAGAGUUUUCUUCAUCGAGAUCUAUGGCAUUUAUUAAAACCUUCCAUCAUAAUCAUGUAAGCCUCUAAAAUUCAAAUUUUUUAUGCAAAUCUAGAUUUUAUCAGCAACCGCAACAAUAUUGACAAAAGACUCUAGAUCGGCUUAUAAAUCCAAACUUUGAAUUGAAGUUUUAUAUACAUCACAUAGUCUCCGAUAGACAUGAACAAGAUCAAUUAUUUGGAUCCAAAGAGGAUAAUUUAAAUUAUUAAUAAUUCCACCGAGAUGAAUACUUUACGAUCUCCAAUA